rnacentral:rRNA from 1 species
UACGUAGGGCGCAAGCGUUGUCCGGAAUUAUUGGGCGUAAAGAGCUCGUAGGUGGCCAGGUAGGUCUGCUGUGAAAACUCGAGGCUCAACCUCGAGACGUCGGCGGAAACCAUCUGGCUAGAGUCCGGAAGAGGAGAGUGGAAUUCCGGGUGUAGCGGUGAAAUGCGCAGAUAUCAGGAAGAACACCCGUGGCGAAGGCGGCUCUCUGGAACGCAACUGACGCUGAGACGCGAAAGCGUGGGGAGCAAACAGG